UGCUAGAGAACUUUCCAGAGAUGGAUUGGUGCCUUCGGGAACUCUGACACAGGUGCUGCAUGGCUGUCGUCAGCUCGUGUCGUGAGAUGUUGGGUUAAGUCCCGUAACGAGCGCAACCCUUGUCCUUAGUUACCAGCACGUUAUGGUGGGCACUCUAAGGAGACUGCCGGUGCAAACCGGAGGAAGGUGGGGAGUGACGUCAAGUCAUCAUGGCCCUUACGGCCUGGGCUACACACGUGCUACAAUGGUCGGUACAAAGGGUUGCCAAGCCGCGAGGUGGAGCUAAUCCCAUAAAAACCGAUCGUAGUCCGGAUCGCAGUCUGCAACUCGACUGCGUGAAGUCGGAAUCGCUAGUAAUCGUGAAUCAGAAUGUCACGGUGAAUACGUUCCCGGGCCUU
rnacentral:rRNA from 1 species